GAUGGAGAACGUAGCGAAAUGCGAUAAGUAAUGUGAAUUGCAGAAUUCAGUGAAUCAUCGAAUCUUUGAACGCACAUUGCGCCCGCCAGUAUUCUGGCGGGCAUGCCUGUUCGAGCGUCAUUUCAACCAUCAAGCCCCCGGCUUGGGUUGGGGACCUGCGGCUGCCGCAGGCCCUGAAAAGCAGUGGCGGGCUCGCUGUCACACCGAGCGUAGUAGCAUACAUCUCGCUCUGGGCGUGCUGCGGGUUCCGGCCGUUAAACCACCUUCAUAACCCAAGGUUGACCUCGGAUCAGGUAGGAAGACCCGCUGAACUUAAGCAUAUCAAUAAGCGGAGGA
rnacentral:misc_RNA from 1 species